rnacentral:lncRNA from 1 species
UCACAAGAACAGAGUCAAAUAAUCACAUAUAAUAUCUGAGAUAAGGACAGAGUUACCCUCCUUCUUCGCAACCGGAGAAGAUCGGCCUUCAAAAUAACAGAAACCCUAGGUAUAGCUUUAAAAAACAAACUUUACCGGAAAUAUGGUCAGGAACGUCGGAAAUGCACCCAAAACGUCCACAAAGUGAUAAUCGAGCCACCGGAAUACGGUAAAACCUCAGGUUAACCGUCAGAAACCCUAGAAGCCGAUAAGUCACCCAAAAUCAACCAACCAAAAUCAUCACAAAAUCUUUCCAGAGUGUUCAGGAGAGGAAAACACACUCGGAUAUCACGAAGAGACACUCAGAAAGGUCUCCGAUAGAUUGAAAUCAUCAUCGACGAAACGGUCUCAGAAAUCACCCCCAAACACCUCGAAACAGACUUCAUCCAAGACCACGAAACACACAGAAACAUGAUCGGAUCGUCGUUGAGGCUCUGAUAAAACAGACUUCAUCCAAGACCACGAAUCACACAGAAACAUGAUCGGAUCGUCGUCGAGGCUCUAAUACCAUGUUAACAUCGAGAUUAAGCAGAUGAAUCAUGAAAGUUAUAGAGAGAGAAAGUAGAGAGAAGGAGGAGUAGGUGAGAAGUCUCUGGAACUUCAGAGAAAAAUUUAUUCAACCGAGAAA